UUUCUCUAUCCUCUCGUCUCUCUCUCGCCAAACCUCUGCCUUUGCUAGUAUUCUCCCGCCGCGCCUCUGGCGCCGCCUCUGCUCGUUCCUUUCCACCGCCACCAUGAGGAAUAAGAAGAGGUCUUCAGGCGAGAGAGCCAGGUGAAGCUUCCGCUGACGAGAGCAGAGAACACCUGAGGCCUUCUCACAACUCCACUUCAGCGAUUUCGUCCCUCCUGCAACCAGUUCAGAUUGAAAUUGGGCAAUCUCCUCCGCGUCUCCCGACCAGAGAGUUCAUCCUUUCCUCUUUGUCAAAGGACAAAAGGGUGGGUCUCUGAAAGAGGAGUUGGGCGUGCUCGAUGGGGAGUCAUUCGUCACCCUUCUCUCUAACCUCAUUGGGGAGUCGAGGUACAUUCAGAACAACCCGCCGGAGCUUGUUCCACAAAAGGACAUGAUGAUCAAGCACCUCUUGGGCGCGCUAGCUCCAUACAGCAAGGAGCAAGGAGAGCCGCAUCUCCUGAACUACGCGAACUACUUCGAGGGAAGCGGGGAUAUGAUAGUCGAGUACCCGGGAACCGUUCCGGGCAAGGUCCUUGAUGGGCAAAACAAAAGGGAAGGCAAUGAAGAAACAGAACGCUAGUCGGCAGAAGGAGGCUGGAGCAGAGAGGUCGAGGAUUAAGAAACCAGUCAUUUGGGGUCCAACGGAAGAGGGAGCAGAGUUAAUUUCUCCAUUCACCCCAGAACAAGCAGCCCGAGGGAUUGGUGGUGGCUGAAACAAGCAGCUUGUAGAAGAAGAGGGGGAGCAUGGGCUUGAACCUUUGUUGGUCAGAGAUGUCCCGAGGGCUCUGGGUGGAUAAAUGCAUAAAUGCUUGACGCACGGUGAAGUUGCCGUCAUGGAAGUAGACGAUGCAGAUUGGGAAGAUAAUAACAGCUGAUCUGUUGCUGGGGCACCGCAGGGUGACCUGGAAGGCUGCAUCAGAGACACAGACCUGGCAAGCUUCGACAUCGAUGCCACCUCGACAUUGGAAAAUGGCAAUGACGUGGUCAGGGCUGUUGCCCACGGUGGCAUUGUAAAAGCCAGUGACAGAAAUGUUGGCCACUAGAGAGGCUAGCGCUUACUGCAGGUUAUGGCCGAAGGUGCUGCUCGGCGCGUGGUUUGUAUAACAACCUGACCCACUCUCGGGCUCGGGCCCCUGGUUCGACGGAUCCCAACCCGCCCUCUAGCAGUUUCAGUUCCAAUCUUAAAAAGGCUAGGAACCAGGACAAUCAUCUUCCCUUUAAAAGCCCUUGAAGAUCCCUCACAAUCUUUGAUACGAGACUAAACUUUUGGUGUGUUACAAUCCACCCCUUUUAAGGUACACGCGUCCGCUCGUGUGGGACCCCAGGUCCGAGUGUUGAACCGGUUCUGAUACCACUAUAACAACCCGACCCACUCCCGGGCUCGGGCCCCUGGUUUGACGGAUCCCAACCCGCUCUCUAGCAGUUUCGGUUCCAAUCUUAAAAAGGCUAGGAACCAGGACAAUCAUCUCAUUAAAGCCUCCCUUUAAAAGCCCUUGAAGAUUUCUCACAAUCUUCGCUACGAAACUAAACUUCUCGGGUGUUACAGUUUGAACUGCCGGUGCAAGACCAAUAGGGGCUCUCAGCCUUGUUGACUAGCCUCAGAGGAAGGAGAAAGACAAUUAAGAAAUUGAGGCUGCAGCUUUUUCUCCACAUUGCCUCACCUUUUUCUCCACAUUGCCUCACCACUGUGCAAUCAAUGCUAGAAUUCUUCUGGGUACAAUUGGGAAACAAUGGAGGAGGAAGGAAAUUUGAGUUGGUUGUUUCUUCCUCCCUUCUUAUAUGUUCUCUGCUCAACAUCCUCCAAGCCUCCAUGUACGCAGCAUCUGAACAGUUGAAAUUCAGGCCUGGACCAAAAAAUUUAAUUAA